GGGAGCUUUCCCCGGGCGUC
rnacentral:snRNA from 1 species